AUUGAACGCUGGCGGCAGGCCUAACACAUGCAAGUCGAGCGGAGCGGCGGACGGGUGAGUAAUGCCUAGGAAUCUGCCUGGUCGUGGGGGAUAAGGUACGGAAACGGGAGCUAAUACCGCAUACUUUUGGAGCGGGGGAUAUGGGUUUAGCUAGUUGGUGGGGUAACGGCUCACCAAGGCGACGAUCCGUAGCUGGUUUGAGAGGACGACCAGCCACACUGGGACUGAGACACGGCCCAGACUCCUACGGGAGGCAGCAGUGGGGAAUUUUGGACAAUGGGGGAAACCCUGAGCCAGCCAUGCCGCGUGUGUGAAGAAGGUCUUCGGAUUGUAAAGCACUUUAAGUUGGGAGGCGUUACCAACAGAAUAAGCACCGGCUAACUUCGUGCCAGCAGCCGCGGUAAUAC
rnacentral:rRNA from 1 species